CGCGGCCUAUCAGCUUGUUGGCGGGGUAACGGCCCACUAAGGCGUCGACGGGUAGCUGGUCUGAGAGGAUGAUCAGCCACACUGGGACUGAGACACGGCCCAGACUCCUACGGGAGGCAGCAGUGGGGAAUCUUGCACAAUGGGCGAAAGCCUGAUGCAGCAACGCCGCGUGCGGGAAGAAGGCCCUAGGGUUGUAAACCGCUUUCAGCAGGGAAGAAAAUGACGGUACCUGUAGAAGAAGGUGCGGCCAACUACGUGCCAGCAGCCGCGGUGACACGUAGGCACCAAGCGUUGUCCGGAUUUAUUGGGCGUAAAGAGCUCGUAGGCGGUUCGGUAAGUCGGGUGUGAAAACUCUGGGCUCAACCCAGAGACGCCACCCGAUACUGCUGUGACUAGAGUGCGGUAGGGGAGCGGGGAAUUCCUGGUGUAGCGGUGAAAUGCGCAGAUAUCAGGAGGAACACCAGUGGCGAAGGCGCCGCUCUGGGCCGUGACUGACGCUGAGGAGCGAAAGCGUGGGUAGCAAACAGGAUUAGAUACCCUGGUAGUCCACGCCGUAAACGUUGGGCACUAGGUGUGGGUCUCAACCAACGAGAUCCGCGCCGUCGCAAACGCAUUAAGUGCCCCGCCUGGGGAGUACGG
rnacentral:rRNA from 1 species